GAUAAUUUGAUAUAUUGAUAAUUAAAAUUAAAAUGAUUUAAUUUAAUUAAAAGAGAUGAUGAAAAAGUUUUUUAAUAGAGAUUGUAAACUUUUUUUAUAGUAUAAAGGUGAUAAAAAAAAUUUGGGGCCUAAAUCCUUUACCAAAAAAAAUAUUUUUGGGGGUCUAAAUCUAGGGCUUCAACACCCUCCACCUGUUCGAAAGUACAAAGAUUAAGAAAUACUAUUCUUCUUUUUUUAGUUUGCAUAAUAUUAUAAGAAUUUAACAUUCAACAUGUCAUCUUAUUCUUAAGACUAUCUCACUAUGUACUAACUCAUAACUAUAAUAUCUUAUCUCCUAAAUACUAUUAUGCUUAGAGAGUAAUUUAAAUAAUAAAAUAGAUAAAUAUAAUAUAACAUUUUAUAUUACUUAUUAAGAUUUCUUUGCCUUUUAUUUGUCAGAAUUAUUU
rnacentral:lncRNA from 1 species